rnacentral:sRNA from 1 species
AUAUACAAUUAAUAUGACUUUGAAGUGUUCAAAAAAUUAAGUUUAUUAAAUUAAAACAAAAUAAUAUUAAUAAUAAAUUACCUGCCAGAUUGAUAGUUGAGCAUCUCUGCUUUGGAAAUGGCUCACGUAAAUACCGCAAAACUUGAGCCUGAAGGAUUGAGUGCAGCAGCAGGGCAAAGUGCUGAAAAGAGCCACAUUAUACGGUCAAUUGGGAACUGAUUGAGUUUGUCCUUGAGCUGGCGAUGCGAGAGCAGUCCGUCAGAGACUUGACCAGAUGCAGAUGGCUGACAGCGAGCUAAAAGCAGGUGAUCCAAUUUGGGUGAGCUUCGUACAUCGUCAAAGCCCUGUAACAGCAUCUAUGCAGACUCCAUGCUUGCCCCUGUUACGACAUAAAGGAUUGAGGCACAAACACCCUGAAAUCUGAAAAUAAUUUUGGAAAAAAAUUUCAAUUAACCUUGAUUUCUGAUUUGAAAA